ACUGAGGGCCAUAUCAGACUGAAUGUGUUUACUUUUAGCAGAUCUUAGAAGCUAAACAGUCACAAGCCUAAUUCAUACUUUGGAUGGGGGACCACUGAGUAUUGCAUGUGCUAAUGUUC
rnacentral:rRNA from 1 species